UUGGAGGGCAAGUCUGGUGCCAGCAGCCGCGGUAAUUCCAGCUCCAAUAGCGUAUAUUAAAGUUGCUGCAGUUAAAAAGCUCGUAGUUGAAUUUCGGGACCAUCAUGUCGGUCGUGCCUCGGUACGUACUGGUAUUGUUGGUUUCUCCCUUCUGACGAACCAUGAUGUCAUUUAUUUGGUGUUGUGGGGAAUCAGGACUGUUACUUUGAAAAAAUUAGAGUGUUUAAAGCAGGCUCACGCUUGAAUACAUUAGCAUGGAAUAAUGAAAUAGGACGUUUGAUUCUAUUUUGUUGGUCUCUAGGAUCGACGUAAUGAUUAAUAGGGAUAGUUGGGGGCAUUAGUAUUCAAUUGUCAGAGGUGAAAUUCUUGGAUUUAUUGAAGACUAACUACUGCGAAAGCAUUUGCCAAGGAUGUUUUCAUUAAUCAAGAACGAAAGUUAGGGGAUCGAAGACGAUCAGAUACCGUCGUAGUCUUAACCAUAAACUAUGCCGACUAGGGAUCGGAUGAUGUUAAUUUUUUAAUGACUCAUUCGGCGCCUUACGGGAAAC
rnacentral:rRNA from 1 species